rnacentral:rRNA from 1 species
UACGUAGGGUGCGAGCGUUGUUCGGAAUUACUGGGCGUAAAGGGCGCGUAGGCGGGUCUGUAAGUCGAUUGUGAAAUCCCCGGGCUUAACCUGGGAAUGGCAGUCGAAACUGCAGAUCUUGGAUGCCUGAGAGGAUGGCGGAAUUCCCGGUGUAGAAGUGAAAUUCGUAGAUAUCGGGAAGAACACCUGAGGCGAAGGCGGCUGUCUGGCGGUGCAUCGACGCUGAGGCGCGAAAGCGUGGGGAGCAAACAGG